AUUGAACGCUGGCGGCAUGCCUUACACAUGCAAGUCGAACGGUAACAGGUCUUCGGAUGCUGACGAGUGGCGAACGGGUGAGUAAUACAUCGGAACGUGCCCGAUCGUGGGGGAUAACGGAGCGAAAGCUUUGCUAAUACCGCAUACGAUCUACGGAUGAAAGCAGGGGACCGCAAGGCCUUGCGCGGACGGAGCGGCCGAUGGCAGAUUAGGUAGUUGGUGGGAUAAAAGCUUACCAAGCCGACGAUCUGUAGCUGGUCUGAGAGGACGACCAGCCACACUGGGACUGAGACACGGCCCAGACUCCUACGGGAGGCAGCAGUGGGGAAUUUUGGACAAUGGGCGCAAGCCUGAUCCAGCCAUGCCGCGUGCAGGAUGAAGGCUUCGGGUUGUAAAGCUCUUUCAGCUGGAACGAAACGGUACGCUCUAACAUAGCGUGCUAAUGACGGUACCAGCAGAAGAAGCACCGGCUAACUACGUGC
rnacentral:rRNA from 1 species